rnacentral:lncRNA from 13 species
GAAAGAGGAGGGGCCUCAGUUCUCCGGGAUUUGAUUUGUUGCUUUGUAAAAAUACCUGCUGGAGGUAAUUCGAGAGGUCUUUUAACUGAUAAACGGAUGACUUUCAAAUUGAGAUCUUAAAAACCUGAGUGAAUAUGCAAGAAAAUGAACUGUUAUUUGAUAUUUUCUCUUCCUUGUUUGCCAUAAUUAUUUAGGCUUCUCUGGUAAAAAUAAGUGGAUAUUUUUGGUAACUACUUAUAUGUACUUUUCAGCUUGAUUUAGUAUAGCACUUAAAUGAACGCUUUAGCCGGCUUUCAUUUUGGGUGUAGAAGUUAAUUAUUCAGCCUUUCUGAUAGCAAAACAGGAAGAAUACAAUAACA